GACGAACGCUGGCGGCGUGCUUAACACUUGCAAGUCGAACGGAGAGGCCCUGCUUUUGUGGGGUGCUCGAGUGGCGAACGGGUGAGUAACACGUGAGUAACCUGCCCUUGACUUUGGGAUAACUUCAGGAAACUGGGGCUAAUACCGGAUAGGAGCUCCUGCUGCAUGGUGGGGGUUGGAAAGUUUCGGCGGUUGGGGAUGGACUCGCGGCUUAUCAGCUUGUUGGUGGGGUAGUGGCUUACCAAGGCUUUGACGGGUAGCCGGCCUGAGAGGGUGACCGGCCACAUUGGGACUGAGAUACGGCCCAGACUCCUACGGGAGGCAGCAGUGGGGAAUAUUGCACAAUGGGCGGAAGCCUGAUGCAGCAACGCCGCGUGCGGGAUGACGGCCUUCGGGUUGUAAACCGCUUUCGCCUGUGACGAAGCGUGAGUGACGGUAAUGGGUAAAGAAGCACCGGCUAACUACGUG
rnacentral:rRNA from 1 species